GAUUCCUGCUCCUCCACAGAGUUCCUACUAUAAGACAUGGAAGGAGAAAAUAUAAAAUCACCUACUGAACACCACAAUAACACAAAAGGGCAGGCUGAUCAUCUACCAUGCCAUACCAGGCCAGCAGAUUGCGCCAAGCUUCGGCAGGGAUCAACACAAAGUCCUCAUUCUCCACCAGACGCUCCUUCAGAUGGAUGUGAUGUGACACUUACCCUCAAACAGCUCUGUGUUGUCGAUCUGUCCAGGGAAAGAUGAGGAGUUCUGGUCUCCUGUCACCACAUACUCCUUCCACUGCUCAUACCAUCGCCUCUCCACCAGGACCUGAGCCCUAGGACCAUGCCUCAGGACUACCUGGUAUGAUGACUCCUUGCUGUCCCCAGUCC